rnacentral:tRNA from 1 species
AUCUUAUAUUCAACGAUGAUUUUAAAUUGCAAAUUUAAAGGUGAAUAUGUUUCUAAGGUUUU